AAUUAAGGACAGCACAUUGUCCUUGUAAUGGGGAUCCAGCAGGGUGGCCACCCAGUAAUCAGCACAAGUUAGAAUGUGGGCAACUCGGCAGUCGUUGUGCAGGCACUUUGGUGACUCUAGAUAACCUUGGGCUGAUCGCACGUCCCCGUGACGGUGACGACGCAUUCGGAUGUCUGCCCUAUCAACUGUUGAUGGUACUUUCUUCGCCUACCAUGGUGACCACGGGUAAUGGGGAAAUCAGGGUUUGAUUCUG